CCUACGGGUGACAGCAGUGGGGAAUAUUGCGCAAUGGGCGAAAGCCUGACGCAGCGACGCCGCGUGAGGGAUGAAGGUCUUCGGAUCGUAAACCUCUGUCAGCAGGGAAGAACGGUCACUGUGCUAAUCAGCAGUGAAUUGACGGUACCUGCAAAGGAAGCACCGGCUAACUCCGUGCCAGCAGCCGCGGUAAGACGGAGGGUGCGAGCGUUAAUCGGAAUUACUGGGCGUAAAGCGCUCGUAGGCGGUAUGUCAAGUCAAGGGUGAAAUCCCCGCGCUCAACGUAGGAACUGCCUUUGAAACUGGCAGACUGGAGUGUGUGAGAGGAUAGUGGAAUGCCAGGUGUAGGAGUGAAAUCCGUAGAUAUCUGGAGGAACAUCAGUGGCGAAGGCGAAUAUCUGGCACAUAACUGACGCUGAGGAGCGAAAGCGUGGGUAGCAAACAGGAUUAGAUACCCUUGUAGUC
rnacentral:rRNA from 1 species